GUUUCAAGGCACUGGCGGCGAUCUGAGAAAUACGGUCGGAACUUGAUCAGGUUCAUACCUGCGAAAGGACUUCAUGCUUGCUUCCCU
rnacentral:ncRNA from 18 species